AUGCUAGUUAAGGGUUCCCACUCUGGUUUAAUUAAAGGGCUAUGCCCUGAAUUGAUGCCUGGAGGGGUGACGUGUUUGCAGUAUGCAGAUGACACCCUGCUGUUUUUAGAAAAAAGUAGUAGAGUAGCCUUAAAUUUUAAAUGGAUUCUUACCUGCUUUGAACAGGUCUCUGGAAUGAGGAUCAACUAUCACAAAAGUGCCUUAGUCCCCAUUAAUAUUGAUCCCCAUGAGUUAGAAGAGUUCAUUGAUAUUUUCCAAUGUGUGGUUGGGUCAUUCCCAAUCAAGUAUUUAGGGAUCCCAUUGCAUUUUGAGAAACUGAGUAGGGAAGACUUGCAGGAACUGAUUGAUAAGAAUUUGGCUAGAAUAGCAGGUUGGAGAGGGAAGUUGUUCUCUUAUUUAGGGAAGAUUACACUCAUUAAAACUUGUUUAGCUAGCAUCCCACUGUAUUUGUUGUCCUUUUUUAAAUUCCCUAAAUGGGCUUUGAAUCUAAUCAAUUCCCAUAUGGCUAACUGUCUGUGGAGUGACACUGAAGGUGCUCACAAAAUCCAUCUAGCUAACUGGCCAUCUAUCUGUAUGAAGAAGGAGUUUGGGGGCAUGGGGGUCCCGAAUCUUCAGGAUAUGAAUCUUUGCCUGAUUGGGUCUUGGGUUAAAAGAUACAUAGCUGGAGAGGGGUCCUUGUGGAGGAAAACCAUUGAUAACAAAUACAAUACUAAGAACCCAAACAUUUUCUGUUGUAGAGACCCACAUCCUUCCUAG
rnacentral:rRNA from 1 species